rnacentral:lncRNA from 1 species
ACAAUGUAUGAAAAUAACCAACUGUCCCCCAAAGCACCCCCCAGAUGUGGGGCUCCACCACAGCUAGCCACCAGCUGCCCCACUGGGGAUGUGGGGCACGGGGCAUGUCACACACCACAUCUUCCUUGGAAGUCGAAAGUUGACAGCUGUGACUCCACAUGCAUGGAGCUCCACCAGGGGGAGGCAGGCCAGGGUACCCCGAGUUCCUCUGUAGGGUUCAGGCUAGCAUUAGCCUCUCCAACAGGGGUCUGGGCAGGCACUGGAGUGGCAGGGGACCCAGGCAUGGCAGUCUGCUGGGACUUGGGACAGUUUUAGUUGUGGGAAGAUGGGUUUGGGUCAAAGCCUGGCCUGCACCUCAGGCAGGGGAGAGAGGAAGAUGACAGGCAGGAGAGAAUGAGGAGGGGGGAGGGGAUAGAAAAGGGAACAGCUCCGAAAAAAACAAAAAAAAA